AUUGAACGCUGGCGGCAGGCCUAACACAUGCAAGUCGAACGGUAGCACAGAGAGCUUGCUCUCGGGUGACGAGUGGCGGACGGGUGAGUAACGUCUGGGAAACUGCCCGAUGGAGGGGGAUAACUACUGGAAACGGUAGCUAAUACCGCAUAACGUCGCAAGACCAAAGUGGGGGACCUUCGGGCCUCACACCAUCGGAUGUGCCCAGAUGGGAUUAGCUAGUAGGUGGGGUAAGGGCUCACCUAGGCGACGAUCCCUAGCCGGUCUGAGAGGAUGACCAGCCACACGGGAACUGAGACACGGUCCAGACUCCAACGCGAGGCAGCAGUGGGGAAUAUUGCCCAAUGGGCGCAAGCCUGAUGCAGCCAUGCCGCGUGUAUGAAGAAGGCCUUCGGGUUGUAUAGUACUUGCAGCGGGGAGGAAGGCGGUGAAGUUAAUAGCUUCACCGAUUGACGUUACCCGCAGAAGAAGCACCGGCUAACUCCGUGCCAGCCGCCGCAGUAA
rnacentral:rRNA from 1 species